AGGAAAUCCAAUCUCUCCCACUCCAGCCCGCCUACUCAUUGAACAUGGCUGCUAUCUCUGUCUUCUGGAAACAUGGCUCCAAUCCUGCAAUAACUCUACACAAGAGCUCCCAGUGAAAGCUUUCACUAGACCUUGAUGGCACUAUGGUCAUUAUCCUGUCAAAACUGUGGUGGAUUUGAAGAGCUAGUGAUGAAGAAUGGAGGUUUCCUGUCCUAGAAAUAACCAAAGGCCCAGGCUUGGAGGUGGCAGAAAAAGUGGCACUUAAGUUACUAGCCCAGUAUUUGGAAUUUGCCAAAGCUAUAUUCCUCAGAAUUUACUUCAAGAGCUCCUUUGUAUCAGCAGAGGAUGAAGAACGGAGAAGAAGAGGAGGAGGAUGAAAGAAACGUAAGAGAUGUGGCAACUAAUUGCAAUGUGUAGAUUGUAUUUAGCUCAUGAUUCAAACAAACUAGAUAUUUGUUAUUAAAGAAUUAUGGUUGUUUUUGGUGUGA
rnacentral:antisense_RNA from 1 species